UACGUAGGUGGCAAGCGUUGUCCGGAUUUACUGGGCGUAAAGGGCGUGCAGGCGGUCUGUUAAGUCUAGGGUGAAAGCUCCCGGCUCAACUGGGAGAGGUCCUUGGAUACUGGCGGACUUGAGGGAUGCAGAGGAAAGUGGAAUUCCCGGUGUAGUGGUGAUAUGCGCAGAUAUCAGGAAGAACACCAGCGGCGAAGGCGGCACUCUGGGCUGGAAUUGACGCUGAGGAGCGAAAGUGUGGGUAGCAAACAGG
rnacentral:rRNA from 1 species